UCUCCGUUGGUGAACCAGCGGAGGGAUCAUUGCUGGAACGCGCCCCUGGCGCACCCAGAAACCCUUUGUGAACUCAUACCUUACCGUUGCCUCGGCGCAGGCCGGCCCCCCCCCGGGGGGCCCCUCGGAGACGAGGAGCAGGCCCGCCGGCGGCCAAGUUAACUCUUGUUUUUACACUGAAACUCUGAGAAACAAAACACAAAUGAAUCAAAACUUUCAACAACGGAUCUCUUGGUUCUGGCAUCGAUGAAGAACGCAGCGAAAUGCGAUAAGUAAUGUGAAUUGCAGAAUUCAGUGAAUCAUCGAAUCUUUGAACGCACAUUGCGCCCUCUGGUAUUCCGGAGGGCAUGCCUGUUCGAGCGUCAUUUCAACCCUCAAGCCUGGCUUGGUGAUGGGGCACUGCUCCCCCCCCGGGGAGCAGGCCCUGAAAUCCAGUGGCGAGCUCGCCAGGACCCCGAGCGCAGUAGUUAAACCCUCGCUCCGGGAGGCCCUGGCGGUGCCCUGCCGUUAAACCCCCAACUUCUGAAAGUUUGACCUCGGAUCAGGUAGGAAUACCCGCUGAACUUAA
rnacentral:rRNA from 1 species